rnacentral:rRNA from 1 species
CUUUCCCUCUUUCUUCAUGCUUUACACAUGCAAGUCGAGCGGUAACAGGCCUUCGGGUGCUGACGAGUGGCGAACGGGUGAGUAAUGCAUCGGAACGUACCCAGAGGUGGGGGAUAACGCAGCGAAAGCUGUGCUAAUACCGCAUGUGAUCUGAGGAUGAAAGCGGGGGACCGAGCAGCAAUGUUUGGCCUCGCGCCUUUGGAGCGGCCGAUGUCGGAUUAGCUAGUUGGUGGGGUAAAGGCCUACCAAGGCGACGAUCCGUAGCUGGUCUGAGAGGACGACCGGCCACACUGGGACUGAGACACGGCCCAGACUCCUACGGGAGGCAGCAGUGGGGAAUUUUGGACAAUGGGCGCAAGCCUGAUCCAGCAAUGCCGCGUGCGGGAAGAAGGCCUUCGGGUUGUAAACCGCUUUUGGCAGGAACGAAACGGUGUCCGCUAAUACCGGGCGCUAAUGACGGUACCUGCAGAAUAAGCACCGGCUAACUACGUG